UACGGGAGGCAGCAGUGGGGAAUAUUGCACAAUGGGCGAAAGCCUGAUGCAGCCAUGCCGCGUGUAUGAAGAAGGCCUUCGGGUUGUAAAGUACUUUCAGUCGUGAGGAAGGUGUUAAGGUUAAUAACCUUAGCAAUUGACGUUAGCGACAGAAGAAGCACCGGCUAACUCCGUGCCAGCAGCCGCGGUAAUACGGAGGGUGCGAGCGUUAAUCGGAAUUACUGGGCGUAAAGGGCACGCAGGCGGUUAAUUAAGUUGGAUGUGAAAUCCCCGGGCUUAACCUGGGAAUGGCAUUCAAGACUGGUUAGCUAGAGUCUUGUAGAGGGGGUAGAAUUCCAUGUGUAGCGGUGAAAUGCGUAGAGAUGUGGAGGAAUACCGGGUGGCGAAGGCGGCCCCUGGACAAAGACUGACGCUCAUGUGCGAAAGCGUGGGGAGCAAAC
rnacentral:rRNA from 1 species